rnacentral:lncRNA from 1 species
CUAGAGAGCAGUGGCACGAUCUUGGCUCACUGCAACCUCUGCCUCCCAAGCUCAAGUGAUUCUCCUGCCUCAGCCUCCUGAGUAGCUGGGAUUACAGGUACGCGCCACCACACCCAGCUAAUUUUUGUAGUUUUAGUAGAGAUAGGGUUUCACCAUGUUGGCCAGGCUGGUCUUGAACUCCUGACCUCAAGUGAUCCGCCCACCUCAGCCUCCCAAAGUUCUGGGAUUACAGGCAUGAGUCACUGCACUGGGCUUGUCAGUUGCUUUUUAAAAAAUCUCUGAAAUCACCCUGUUCAGUGGCCACCAUUUUCUUUUUUUAAGAAAGCUGGUACAGAAACCAAACUAAAAAACAAACACCACAACCAAAACCCCCAAUUAUCUCCACUUUGCAGCUGUACGGACUUCAAAUAAAAGUUUCUCUAUUAAGCACCUGGAGUGCAGAGAAGCGUGGGACACAUGAGGGUUGGAGACCCACAGAGAUAGGUGUCUCACUGUGUUGCCCAGGCUGUUCUCCAACUCCUGUGCUCAAGCGAUCCUGCUACCUCAGCCUCCCAAGUGCUGGAAUUACAGGGUGCUGUACUAGCCGCCAUGGAGACACAGAGAUGAACGAGACAUCAGGAUGCUGAUGAUUAAGAUAUGCACACACCCACAGCACAAUAUCAAAUACACUUUUCAGCCUGGAAAGCCACCACCUGCUUGCCUACUGGUGACCUGAAGAACCUGCAGUAGCUCCCUGUUGCUUAUCAGAUACAAUGUGAACUUUUUGGGCUAUUUUCCAGGGCCCUCCCACAUGUUUCAAGCACUUAUUAUUACCCAACAGUGUCCCUUCCUAUCCCCAGCACACAAGUGUUUGUAAUGUAACUCUCUACAUCUGAACAAGAAUGAAGACCUUUUUAAGGGAAUCAUUUUGAUGUUUAUAGUUGAUUUAUUCAACAAACAUUUACUGAAUAACUGCUAUGUGCCAGGCACCGUGACAGGUACUAAGACAGUUUUGAUGGUGACUAGGGCAAACAUGCCUGCUCUGGGGGAGCCCAUGAGCUAGCAGGGAGGACAGGCACUAAUGAUGAAAACAGAAUGUGUUGGCCAGGUGCAGUGUCUCAUGACUGUAAUCCCAGAACUUUGGGAGGCUGAGGGGCGGGGGUGGAUCACCUGAGGUCAGAAGUUUGAGACCAGCCUGGGCAACAUGGCGAAACCCCAUCUCUACUAAAAAUACAAAAAUUAGCUGGGUGUGGUGGCGCAUGCCUGUAGUCUCAGCUACAUGGGAGGCUGAGGCAGGAGAAUCGCUUGAAUCUGGGAGGCGUAGGCUGCGGUGAGCCUAGAUCACGCCACUACACUCCAGCCUGGGUGACACAGUGAGACUCCAUCUCAAAAUAAAUAAAUAAAUAAAUAAAUAGAAUGUGGUGAGUUGUCAGAUGGGACAAUUUUGGGGUACCUGAGAGUCCUGCUGAGCUGCAUUUCCACUGUGGCCUCAUAGAUUUUUUUUUUUUUCCCACCUGGGUUCUUCACAGAGCAGAGUGUGUCUUGCUGGGACAGAAUGGAGACUGUUCCAGGAGGAUGUUCACAUGGCAAACCCAAAAGGGCGCCAGCCCCCAAUCUGUUCUUCCCAUCAUUGGUGAGGUCUCCCUCUUCCCAAAUUCAGUGUCCCGUGGAAGUGACACGGAAAGCAGGGACAGAAUUAAGUGUCUAAGAAUUCCAAAAGCAAACCCUUUGGAUGAUGAAAUUAUGAAGGGCUGCAAAAAGCACUUCACAAUUUCACCGUGUUAGGAAAUAUUAGCUCCCGCCCUCUCCAGAAAGCAGCUUUUUCUGUCUUGUUGGGUGUGAUCUAUUCUCUUCUGUUCUGACUAAAUUGCUCAUGACAGGUGGUGCUCCCAUGUUUUUGAAACUUGUCCACGAAUGAAGGCUCUGACCCCUCAUGCCGUUGUUUGAUGUUGAGUCAGUGUUUAACCACUAUAAUUGGCAGAAAAGUCUUCCAACUGUCUCACCAAGAUGAGAUGCUGCAAAUUCCACCCUCUUGCUUGUCUGCUACCCUCUGCAGAAUGGAGAAAAC